GUGCCCGCAGCCGCGGUACUACAGAGGUCUCAAGCGUUGUUCGGAUUCAUUGGGCGUAAAGGGUGCGUAGGCGGCGCGGUAAGUCGGGUGUGAAAUCUCGGAGCUUAACUCCGAAACUGCAUUCGAUACUGCCGUGCUUGAGGACUGGAGAGGAGACUGGAAUUUACGGUGUAGCGGUGAAAUGCGUAGAUAUCGUAAGGAAGACCAGUGGCGAAGGCGGGUCUCGGGACAGUUCCUGACGCUGAGGCACGAAGGUCAGGGGAGCAAACGGGAGGAUCUACCAGCGGCUUAC
rnacentral:rRNA from 1 species